UGGGGAAUAUUGCACAAUGGGCGCAAGCCUGAUGCAGCCGUGCCGCGUGUGUGAAGAAGGGCCUUCGGGUUGUAAAGCACUUUCAGCGAGGAGGAAGGUGGUGAGCUUAAUACGCUCAUCAAUUGACGUUACUCGCAGAAGAAGCACCGGCUAACUCCGUGCCAGCAGCCGCGGUAAUACGGAGGGUGCAAGCGUUAAUCGGAAUUACUGGGCGUAAAGCGCACGCAGGCGGUUUGUUAGGUCAGAUGUGAAAUCCCCGGGCUCAACCUGGGAACUGCAUUUGAAACUGGCAAGCUAGAGUCUCGUAGAGGGGGGUAGAAUUCCAGGUGUAGCGGUGAAAUGCGUAGAGAUCUGGAGGAAUACCGGUGGCGAAGGCGGCCCCCCUGGANGAAGACUGACGCUCAGGUGCGAAAGGCGUGGGGCAGCAAACAGGAUUAGAUACCCUGGUAGUCCACGCUGUAAACGAUGUCGAUUUUGGAGGUUGUGCCCC
rnacentral:rRNA from 1 species